rnacentral:rRNA from 1 species
CCUACGGGUGACAGCAGUCGAGAAUCAUUCACAAUGGGGGAAACCCUGAUGGUGCGACGCCGCGUGGGGGAAUGAAGGUCUUCGGAUUGUAAACCCCUGUCAUGUGGGAGCAAAUUAAAAAGACAGUACCACAAGAGGAAGAGACGGCUAACUCUGUGCCAGCAGCCGCGGUAAUACAGAGGUCUCAAGCGUUGUUCGGAAUCACUGGGCGUAAGGCGUGCGUAGGCUGUUUCGUAAGUCGUGUGUGAAAGGCGCGGGCUCAACCCGCGGACGGCACAUGAUACUGCGAGACUAGAGUAAUGGAGGGGGAACCGGAAUUCUCGGUGUAGCAGUGAAAUGCGUAGAUAUCGAGAGGAACACUCGUGGCGAAGGCGGGUUCCUGGACAUUAACUGACGCUGAGGCACGAAGGCCAGGGGAGCGAAAGGGAUUAGAUACCCCUGUAGUC